UCAAGUGAAGAAGCGCAUACGGUGGAUGCCUUGGCAGUCAGAGGCGAUGAAAGACGUGGUAGCCUGCGAAAAGCUUCGGGGAGUCGGCAAACAGACUUUGAUCCGGAGAUCUCUGAAUGGGGGAACCCACCUAGGAUAACCUAGGUAUCUUGUACUGAAUCCAUAGGUGCAAGAGGCGAACCAGGGGAACUGAAACAUCUAAGUACCCUGAGGAAAAGAAAUCAACCGAGAUUCCCUUAGUAGUGGCGAGCGAACGGGGAUUAGCCCUUAAGCUUCAUUGAUUUUAGCGGAACGCUCUGGAAAGUGCGGCCAUAGUGGGUGAUAGCCCCGUACGCGAAAGGAUCUUUGAAGUGAAAUCGAGUAGGACGGAGCACGAGAAACUUUGUCUGAACAUGGGGGGACCAUCCUCCAAGGCUAAAUACUACUGACUGACCGAUAGUGAACCAGUACCGUGAGGGAAAGGCGAAAAGAACCCCGGAGAGGGGAGUGAAAUAGAACCUGAAACCGUAUGCGUACAAGCAGUGGGAGCCUACUUGUUAGGUGACUGCGUACCUUUUGUAUAAUGGGUCAGCGACUUAUAUUCAGUGGCAAGCUUAACCGUAUAGGGUAGGCGUAGCGAAAGCGAGUCUUAAUAGGGCGUUUAGUCGCUGGGUAUAGACCCGAAACCGGGCGAUCUAUCCAUGAGCAGGUUGAAGGUUAGGUAACACUGACUGGAGGACCGAACCCACUCCCGUUGAAAAGGUAGGGGAUGACUUGUGGAUCGGAGUGAAAGGCUAAUCAAGCUCGGAGAUAGCUGGUUCUCCUCGAAAGCUAUUUAGGUAGCGCCUCAUGUAUCACUCUGGGGGGUAGAGCACUGUUUCGGCUAGGGGGUCAUCCCGACUUACCAAACCGAUGCAAACUCCGAAUACCCAGAAGUGCCGAGCAUGGGAGACACACGGCGGGUGCUAACGUCCGUCGUGAAAAGGGAAACAACCCAGACCGCCAGCUAAGGUCCCAAAGUUGUGGUUAAGUGGUAAACGAUGUGGGAAGGCUUAGACAGCUAGGAGGUUGGCUUAGAAGCAGCCACCCUUUAAAGAAAGCGUAAUAGCUCACUAGUCGAGUCGGCCUGCGCGGAAGAUGUAACGGGGCUCAAACCACACACCGAAGCUGCGGGUGUCACGUAAGUGACGCGGUAGAGGAGCGUUCUGUAAGCCUGUGAAGGUGAGUUGAGAAGCUUGCUGGAGGUAUCAGAAGUGCGAAUGCUGACAUGAGUAACGACAAUGGGUGUGAAAAACACCCACGCCGAAAGACCAAGGGUUCCUGCGCAACGUUAAUCGACGCAGGGUUAGUCGGUUCCUAAGGCGAGGCUGAAAAGCGUAGUCGAUGGGAAACAGGUUAAUAUUCCUGUACUUCUGGUUACUGCGAUGGAGGGACGGAGAAGGCUAGGCCAGCUUGGCGUUGGUUGUCCAAGUUUAAGGUGGUAGGCUGAAAUCUUAGGUAAAUCCGGGGUUUCAAGGCCGAGAGCUGAUGACGAGUCGUCUUUUAGAUGACGAAGUGGUUGAUGCCAUGCUUCCAAGAAAAGCUUCUAAGCUUCAGGUAACCAGGAACCGUACCCCAAACCGACACAGGUGGUCGGGUAGAGAAUACCAAGGCGCUUGAGAGAACUCGGGUGAAGGAACUAGGCAAAAUGGCACCGUAACUUCGGGAGAAGGUGCGCCGGCUAGGGUGAAGGAUUUACUCCGUAAGCUCUGGCUGGUCGAAGAUACCAGGCCGCUGCGACUGUUUAUUAAAAACACAGCACUCUGCAAACACGAAAGUGGACGUAUAGGGUGUGACGCCUGCCCGGUGCCGGAAGGUUAAUUGAUGGGGUUAGCGCAAGCGAAGCUCUUGAUCGAAGCCCCGGUAAACGGCGGCCGUAACUAUAACGGUCCUAAGGUAGCGAAAUUCCUUGUCGGGUAAGUUCCGACCUGCACGAAUGGCGUAACGAUGGCGGCGCUGUCUCCACCCGAGACUCAGUGAAAUUGAAAUCGCUGUGAAGAUGCAGUGUAUCCGCGGCUAGACGGAAAGACCCCGUGAACCUUUACUGUAGCUUUGCACUGGACUUUGAGCCUGCUUGUGUAGGAUAGGUGGGAGGCUUUGAAGCGUGGACGCCAGUUCGCGUGGAGCCAUCCUUGAAAUACCACCCUGGCAUGCUUGAGGUUCUAACUCUGGUCCGUGAUCCGGAUCGAGGACAGUGUAUGGUGGGCAGUUUGACUGGGGCGGUCUCCUCCUAAAGAGUAACGGAGGAGUACGAAGGUGCGCUCAGACCGGUCGGAAAUCGGUCGUAGAGUAUAAAGGCAAAAGCGCGCUUGACUGCGAGACAGACACGUCGAGCAGGUACGAAAGUAGGUCUUAGUGAUCCGGUGGUUCUGUAUGGAAGGGCCAUCGCUCAACGGAUAAAAGGUACUCCGGGGA
rnacentral:rRNA from 1 species